AAUAUUGCGCAAUGGAGGGAACUCUGACGCAGCGACGCCGCGUGAGCGACGAAGGCCUNCGGAUCNUNAAGCUCUGUCCUUGGGGNAGAAGGUCUUCCGACUUGACGGUACGUUCGGAGGAAGCCCCGGCAAACUACGCGCCAGCAGCCGCGGUAAUUCGGAGGGGGCAAGCGUUGUCCGGAAUUAUUGGGCGUAAAGGGUGCGUAGGCGGCCUUUUAAGUCUGAUGUGCAAGCCCACGGCUUAACCGUGGGACUGCAUUUGAAACUGGAGGGCAUGAGGAUCGGAGAAGGUGGUGGAAUUCCCUGUGUAGCGGUGGAAUGCGUAGAUAUUGGGAGGAACACCAGUGGCGAAGGCGACUACCUUGACGAAAACUGACGCUGGGGCACGAAAGCUAGGGGAGCAAACA
rnacentral:rRNA from 1 species